rnacentral:rRNA from 1 species
UGAGUAAAGUGGCGCACGGGUGAGUAACACGUAGGCGACCUGCCUUUUAGAGGGGAAUAACCAGAUGAAAAUUUGGCUAAUGCCGCAUACGAAGAGCAAAUAUAAUAGUAGCUCUUGAAAGGAUGCCUCUGUAUAUGCAUCCGCUAAAAGAUGGGCCUGCGGAACAUUAGCUAGUUGGUGGGGUAAAGGCCUACCAAGGCAACGAUGUUUAUCCGGUCUGAGAGGAUGAUCGGACACACUGGAACUGAGACACGGUCCAGACUCCUACGGGAGGCAGCAGUGGGGAAUAUUGCGCAAUGGGGGAAACCCUGACGCAGCAACGCCGCGUGAGUGAGGAAGGACUUCGGUCUGUAAAGCUCUGUUAAUGUGGAAAAAUGGUAGUUGGUCUAAUAGGCCGAUUAUUUGAUGGUACACAUGGAGGAAGCACCGGCUAACUUCGUGCCAGCAGCCGCGGUAAUACGAAGGGUGCAAGCGUUGUUCGGAUUUAUUGGGCGUAAAGCGCGCGUAGGCGGACCUGCAAGUCAGAUGUGAAAUCUCGGGGCUCAACCUCGAAACUGCGUCUGAAACUACAGGUCUAGAAUCUCGGAGGGGGAAGGGGAAUAUCGCAUGUAGGGGUAAAAUCCGUAGAUAUGCGAUGGAACACCAGAGGCGAAGGCGCCUUCCUGGACGAGUAUUGACGCUGAGGCGCGAAAGCGUGUGG